GCCGGGUGUGGUGGUGCACACCUGUAAUCCCAGCUACUUGGGAGGCUGAGGCUGGAGAAUCACUUGAACCAGGGACAUGGAGACUGCAGUGAGCAGAGAUCGUGCCACUGCACUCUAGCCUGGGUGACAAAGCAAGACUCCGUCUCAA
rnacentral:sRNA from 1 species